UACGUAGGUGGCAAGCGUUGUUCGGAAUUAUUGGGCGUAAAGCGCUUGUAGGCGGCACGUCAAGUCGCGUGUGAAAUCCCCAGGCUUAACCUGGGAAGUGCGCGCGAAACUGACGAGCUUGAGUGCCGGAGAGGGUCGCGGAAUUCCCGGUGUAGAGGUGAAAUUCGUAGAUAUCGGGAGGAACACCAGUGGCGAAGGCGGCGACCUGGACGGACACUGACGCUGAGACGCGAAAGCGUGGGGAGCAAACAGG
rnacentral:rRNA from 1 species